CAGUAGCCACGGUAAUACGUAGGGUGCGAGCGUUGCUCGGAAUGACUGGGCGUAAAGGGCGCGUAGGCGGUUUUGACAGUCAGAUGUGAAAGCCCUGGGCUCAACCUGGGAAUUGCAGUGGAUACUGGGUCACUAGAGUGUGGUAGAGGAUAGUGGAAUUUCCGGUGUAGCAGUGAAAUGCGUAGAGAUCGGAAGGAACAUCUGUGGCGAAGGCGACUAUCUGGGCCAACACUGACACUGAGGCACGAAAGCGUGGGGAGCAAACAGGAUUAGAUACCCGCGUAGUCCCUGUCUCUUAUAC
rnacentral:rRNA from 1 species